rnacentral:rRNA from 1 species
GAUGAACGCUGGCGGCGUGCCUAAUACAUGCAAGUCGAACGCAUAGCGAAAGGUGCUUGCACCUUUCAAGUGAGUGGCGAACGGGUGAGUAACACGUGGACAACCUGCCUCAAGGCUGGGGAUAACAUUUGGAAACAGAUGCUAAUACCGAAUAAAGCUUAGUGUCGCAUGACACAAAGUUAAAAGGCGCUUCGGCGUCACCUAGAGAUGGAUCCGCGGUGCAUUAGUUAGUUGGUGGGGUAAAGGCCUACCAAGACAAUGAUGCAUAGCCGAGUUGAGAGACUGAUCGGCCACAUUGGGACUGAGACACGGCCCAAACUCCUGCGGGAGGCUGCAGUAGGGAAUCUUCCACAAUGGGCGAAAGCCUGAUGGAGCAACGCCGCGUGUGUGAUGAAGGCUUUCGGGUCGUAAAGCACUGUUGUAUGGGAAGAACAGCUAGAAUAGGAAAUGAUUUUAGUUUGACGGUACCAGACCAGAAAGGGACGGCUAAAUACGUG